GCAGUGGUGAUUCAGUGGUAGAAUUCUUCCCUUCCAUGUGGGAGACCCGGAUUCAAUUCCCUGCCAGUGCA
rnacentral:tRNA from 1 species